UACCCCUAGCCCCUUUGCUUUUGUUUCUUUUCAGGAAGAGACUCCAUUUUUGCCCAGGCCUGCUUGGACUCAAAGCCUUCUAUUUAUGCCUCCUGCACAGCUGCUUGACAGAAAUGUAUCAUGCCCC